AUUGAACGCUGGCGGCAGGCCUAACACGUGCAAGUCGAGCGGAUGAAGGAAGCUCGCUCCUGGAUUCAGCGGCGGACGGGUGAGUAAUGCCUAGGAAUCUGCCUGGUAGUGGGGGAUAACGUCCGGAAACGGGCGCUAAUACCGCAUACGUCCUGAGGGAGAAAGUGGGGGAUCUUCGGACCUCACGCUAUCAGAUGAGCCUAGGUCGGAUUAGCUAGUUGGUGGGGUAAAGGCCUACCAAGGCGACGAUCCGUAACUGGUCUGAGAGGAUGAUCAGUCACACUGGAACUGAGACACGGUCCAGACUCCUACGGGAGGCAGCAGUGGGGAAUAUUGGACAAUGGGCGAAAGCCUGAUCCAGCCAUGCCGCGUGUGUGAAGAAGGUCUUCGGAUUGUAAAGCACUUUAAGUUGGGAGGAAGGGCAGUAAGUUAAUACCUUGCUGUUUUGACGUUACCAACAGAAUAAGCACCGGCUAACUUCGUG
rnacentral:rRNA from 1 species